GGCGGGGGAUGCAAGUGUUAUCCGGAAUCACUGGGCGUAACGCGUCUGUAGGUGGUUUAAUAAGUCAACUGUUAAAUCUUGAGGCUCAACCUCAAAAUCGCAGUCGAAACUAUUAGGCUAGAGUAUAGUAGGGGUAAAGGGAAUUUCCAGUGGAGCGGUGAAAUGCGUAGAGAUUGGAAAGAACACCGAUGGCGAAGGCACUUUACUGGGCUAUUACUAACACUCAGAGACGAAAGCUAGGGUAGCAAAUGGG
rnacentral:rRNA from 1 species